UACAGAGGUCUCAAGCGUUGUUCGGAUUUACUGGGCGUAAAGGGCGCGUAGGCGGACAGUUUAGUCAGAGGUGAAAGCCCAGGGCUCAACCUUGGAAUUGCCUUUGAUACUGGCUGUCUUGAGUACGGGAGAGGUGAGUGGAACUCCGAGUGUAGAGGUGAAAUUCGUAGAUAUUCGGAAGAACACCAGUGGCGAAGGCGGCGACCUGGGUAGAUACUGACGCUGAGGUGCGAAAGCGUGGGGAGCGAACAGG
rnacentral:rRNA from 1 species